GUGGUUAUUGCUCAUGAUGUGGACCCAAUAGAGUUAGUCGUGUGGCUGCCAGCAUUGUGCAGAAAGAUGGAAAUUCCGUACUGCAUCGUGAAGGGAAAAGCACGUUUAGGAUCGGUAAGGAACAUGAGAUGUGCAUUUAUAUAUGGCUAUGCUUUCUUAAUGGUAUUAGAUACUAAUGAUUGAGCAUUGCUUUCAGAUCGUGCACAAGAAAACUGCUUCGGCUCUAUGCUUGACAACUGUGAAAAAUGAAGAUAAAAUGGAGUUCAGCAGAAUUUUGGAGGCAAUCAAGGUAUCUUAUGUUAAUAAAUGAUAAAUUGGCUGCUUGUUUUCUUUGUAGUUAUCUUUUUUUUUUUGUGUGUAAAACUGUAAAUCUAUUGAGGGAUUUAUAUUGAUUUUUGUUAUACUUUUUUCAGGCAAACUUCAAUGACAAGUAUGAGGAAAACAGAAAGAAAUGGGGCGGUGGUGUCAUGGGAUCCAAAUCACAAGCCAGAACCAAGGCGAAAGAGAGGGUUCUCGCCAAGGAAGCAGCACAGAGAAUGAACUAGAGCUUCUAUUUUAUGUUGCUGUUUGGGUUAGACCUACAAAUUUUGUGUUUUUGAUUCGCAUGCUUGAGCGAUGUUAGAGAUCCUACGUGGAUUAGACUUAUAUUUUCUUUGUUUUACAUAUUUAUGUUUCUAUGCAAAAGACUUGUCUAAUUUUUCGGUUUUCGGAAUAGAUGGUUGGUUGAGUUGGUUAUGUACGAGGAUAAAAUGGGAAGGCUCUUCCAUUCACUAGGUGCUUAUUCUUCUGAUAAAGUUUACUCUACCUUGUCCUCUACUCAUCAAAGUACUUCAUUAUAUUAUCACCGAGCCUUCAACUUUUUCUCUAUAUAAACCAGCCUUAUUAGAAGUGGGUUGUGGCAUUGUGAAGCGAGUCUGUUUGGAGAGAGGAAUCUAGCUAUUCAGUAUUUGACUAUUUGUGCCGAUGGAAGAUAACUUGAGUUGGUUCCAAACUCCAAAUGCCAUCAUCAACAAAGAGAUAACUUAAGUUGGUCCAAACUCCAGAUACCAUCAUCAACUAGAAAGAACAUGAGUCUAUUAGGAAAAUGCCACUUUCACCUUUCUAAAACCUUUCUGCAUUUAUUUAUUUUUAAACUUAUCAUAAAGAGAGCAACGAGAAAAUCAUGAAAUUUCAUGUAAUACAUUGUAUCUUAUAGUUAAAGCACACUGCAGCGGGCAGGUAAAAGAGUUGUAUAUACUCAAAAGAAUCAGAUUAUUAUAACGAAGCAACAAUGUCCACUAGUUUCACAGUAGCAAUAACCAACAGGCCAGAAGCAUACCCACAUUAAACCCCAAAUGAAGAACACGCCUGCAACUCAAGCCAAUAAUCACCAAAAGGAGACUAUCAAUAUUGAAAGGAAUACUACAUCUCCACAACAAACUCCCGUGCAAAACAAAAUGAACAAGACACCAAUUCAAACAUUCCUAAUACCAAGAAUAACACUAAUUUUGAUUCACCAUCCUAUGUCCCAGAAUCACCAGAGGGUGAUAAUAUUCAGGAGAUUUCCUCAAAAAACAAACUCACUCCUACCCUUGCAAAUGAUCAGUUUCAGAUGGCACAACCUAACCUGCAAGUUAUGCCUAUUCAAAUUGCUAUACCUCCUAAAGAAAAUGAUCCUCCUGAUCAUAUUAAUGAUAUCACAUCGGAUGGGGAAGAUGAAUAUGAGAGCAUCAAUGGGAACACAUCAAGUGAAGAAGAAGAACCUGAAAUAGGAAGCGCAGAGGAAGACAAUGUUGAAGACCAAACUAUUGACAGAUUCAAUCCUCAAGCUCUCUCUGACCUUGAUGUUAGUAGAGAAUUUGAAGAGAUUACAGGUACCCAUAACUUGUCUCCUAGAGGACAAGGAUCAUACAAAAGAGGUAAAAGCAGAGGGGGUGGUAAUGCCCCUCUCACAAGGUCCAGAGCAAAGCUCACAGCCCCUACCCAAACUUUUCAUGAUUAAUACAAGAUUACAAUCAUAUGGAAUAUUAGAGGCAUUAAGAAUGCCUUUGAAAGACUUAAAUUUCUCAAACUUAGCAACAAUCCCACUUUCAUAGCUAUCCUUGAACCCUUUGCUAGUAUUGAUAAGAUUCAAAAUACAAGAGAGCACUGGGUUUCUCUCAAGCUUUCUCCAACAUCAAUAGUAAAAUUUGGAUUUUUGCUCAAGAUGAUCUGAAUUGUUCCAUUGUAGAUGACCAAGAACAAGUUCUUACAUGUACAUUGCAUCUGAAUAAUGGUGAAGAUGUUAUGUUCUCUAUUGUGUAUGCCAAGACUAAAUCUAAUUUAAAAACUCCCCUUUGGGAUGACUUAAACAGAUUAUCUGGCACUUCUUUACAGUGUGUUGUAGGAGACUUCAACUGCAUUACUGAAGCACAAGAAAAAGAAGGGGGUGCUCCUCAUAAACAUCAAAAAGCCCUCCCUUUCAUCAAUUGCAUUCUGGAUUGUGACUUAUUGGAUUUAUGAUUUUCGGGGCACAAAUUCACGUGGUGUAAUGACUGGGCACCAGAUAUGGAAAAGACUGGAUAGAGCUAUGGUGAAUCACAGGGCUAAUAAACUCUCCAAAUCAUCAAUCAUUCACUUACCGAGAAUUAACUCUGACCAUGCUCCUUUACUUCUUAAAGUUGCAGCCCAUAAUACACCCCCGCUAAAGUACUUUAAGUUUCUGAACAUAUGAACUAAGCAUGAUGGUUUCAGAGAACUUAUAAAAGAAGCUUGGGAUACUCAUAUUGAGGGUAAUCCCUACUGGAAAUUCCAUGAGAAAACUAAGAUUUCAAGUUCUAAACUAUCUGCUUGGCCUAGGAGUGCUAGGGGAUAUAUUUGCAGAUACUAAGGAUCUUGAGAAGGAAAUUGACGACUUAGAAGAACAGUCCAUAGUGAACAACACUGAGCAACACAGAUCUAUUCUUAAUCAGAAAAAAGCAGCACUUACAAGACACUUGAAAAUUCAGCAGGCCUAUUGGAAACAAACGGCAACAUUCAAUGGGCUAAAGAAGGAGAUAUGAAUACCAGUUUCUUCCAUGCCUCUGUCACCAGGAAAAGAAGAAGAAUGACUAUACAAAGGAUCAAGAACGAAGAUGACCAAUGGAUGGAUGAUGAAGAUCAAAUAGCUAAUGAAGCUGUUAGAUUUUUUGAAAACUUAUUCAAGAAACCCCAAGAACAAACUAAUUUGAGUUGCUUGGAUUGCAUACCCAACCUGAUCACAGAACAAGACAAUGAAAACCUCAUCAAAAUUCCCACAGAGGAAGAAAUUAGGGAAAUUGUCUUCUUAAUGAAUCCAGACUCAGCAUUUGGACCUGAUGGACUCACAGCUGCUUUCUUCCAAGAAGAAUGGGAGAUCAUUGAACGAGAUCUAACUAAUUUAGUUUCUUUCUUUUUUGCAGGAAAUGAGCUACCCAGAUACAUUACACAUAUUUGUUUGGUCCUCAUUCCAAAGAUAGACCAGCCUGAAGCUAUGACAGAUCUCAGACCAAUAAGAUUGGCAAAUGUGACUUCUAAAAUUAUCUUCAAGAUCAUGAAUAAUAGAUUAGCAGAGAUACUACCAAGAAUUAUAUCUCCUAAUCAAUCUGGUUUUGUUAAAGUCAGGGCUAUCACUAAAAAUAUAAUGCUUACUCAGGAGCUUGCACAUAAUAUGAGCAGAGACCAAAAUGGAGACAAUAUCAUAAUCAAAAUAGAUAUGUCAAAAGCACAUGAUAGAGUCUCACGGUCUUUCCUAUGCCAUAUGCUAAGGAAAUUAGGAUUUACUGAAAACUUGGAUAGACCUAGUAUUCAGAUUAAUCUCCAACAUUUGGUACUCUAUUGCCAUGAAUGGCUUGAGGAAUAUUUUUUUCAAAUCGUCAAGGGGCCUCAGACAAGGAGAUCCGAUUUCCCCUUCCUUUUUUGUGAUAUCAUCUGAGCUUCUUUCUGGAAUGUUGAACGGAAUUACAGCAUGCCAAGAUUUCAUUCUGUAUAAAAUGAGGAAGGGUCCCUGCAUUACUCACUUAACUCAUGCAGAUGAUACCAUUUUAUUCAGUUCAACUGAUAAUACAUCCAUCCAGAUUAUCAACUAGUGUCUUCAAGAUUAUACUAACAUCUCUGGGCAAAGUUAUCAACUAUAACAAGUCCCAUUUCUACAUGCAUCCGAAUGUUGGGGACACACAAAUUGACUCCAUCAUUCAACUAACUGGUUUCUCCAAGAAAUAAUUUCCUUUCACCUAUUUGGGUGCUCCUAUUUACAUAGGGAGAAAAAAGUAGAAUACUUUAAUGAACUUACGGCCAAAGUUGGGAAAAGAAUUCAAGGAUGGAAUGGCAAACUCAUGUCCUUUGGAGGCAAAGCAGUUCUAAUUAAACCAGUACUUUACGCUAUUCCUAUGCAUAUCCUUGCUGCUACCAAUCCACCUAAGACCACUCUGCAGAUAAUUGAGAAACAAUUCUCUAACUUCUUCUGGGGAAACUCUGAGGGAGAUAACAAACACCAUUGGUUCUCAUGGGCUUCAUUAUACUGGGACAAGAAUGAGGGUGGUGCAGGUUUUAGAUCAAUUCAUGACAUCAACAAAUCUCUUGCUUCAAAAGCUUGAUGAAAUUUAAGGACUAGAGACUCACUAUGGAGAGAAUUUAUGGAAGCCAAGUAUUGUAACAAACUCCACCUUGUUGUAGCUACAUGGAAAUCUGGUCACUCACAAAUCUGGAGGAGGUUGAUAGACAUAAAAGAGGGUACAGAAAAACAUAUCAUGUGGAGAUUGAGAAAUAGGGAUGCUUCAUUUUGGUGGGAUAAAUGGUUGGAUCAAGGCCCAUUGGCCAAUUUGAUUAAUGACCAUAGCAAAGGAAAGGAGAAAGUAUCAUCCUUUAUCUAUGAGGAAUCCUGGAAUAUGAUUAAACUAAGAGAAGUUUUCCCUGAAGAUAUGAUUAGAAAUAUUAUAUCUUUACCUCCUCCUACACGAACUAAAAAAGACCAACCUAUUUGGACCAUUACUAAUACUGGAGCUUUUUCUUGCAGGUCGGCAUGGUAGGAGCUAAAACAGACCAGGAACCACAAUUUUACAGCUGGCAAAAUUUGGCACAAGAAGCUUCCUUUUAAAAUCUUAUUCUUCAUCAUGAAACUUUUAAAUAGAAGAUUACCUACCGAUGAUAUCACUAGCAAAUUUGGUUUUAUUGGACCUUUUAGUUGUUCAUGUUGCAGAAUCCCAAAAGCUAAAACCAUUAAUCA
rnacentral:lncRNA from 1 species